rnacentral:misc_RNA from 1 species
AGAGUUUGUAACACCCAAAGCCGGUGGGGUAACCUUUUAGGAGCUAGCCGUCUAAGGUGGGACAGAUGAUUAGGGUGAAGUCGUAACAAGGUAGCCGUAGGAGAACCUGCGGCUGGAUCACCUCCUUUCUAAGGAAUAAUACGGAACCGCACACGAGUCAAAGUUUUGUUUAGUUUUGAGAGGUCUACUCUCACUUUUGUUCUUUGAAAACUGAAUAAUAUCUAUAAUUUUCUAAUUUUAAUUAAUCAUAAUUAAACCGAGAGAAAACCGCGUAAUUUUAAAGAGUUAAACAAGAUUAGUUCAAAAUAAUCGCAAUACUCAAUUAAUCGCUUUACCGUAGGUAAAGUUAGGUUAAGUUAGGAAGGGCGCAUGGUGGAUGCCUUGGUACUAGGAGCCGAUGAAGGACGGGACUAACACCGAUAUGCCUCGGGGAGCUGUAAGUAAGCUUUGAUCCGGGGAUUUCCGAAUGGGGCAACCCAAUAGUUUUAAUCGACUAUUAUCCGCAUCUGAAUUCAUAGGAUGUGUGAAGGUAA